rnacentral:rRNA from 1 species
CUGGUUGAUCCUGCCGGCGGGCACCGCUAUCGGAAUGCGACUAAGGCAUGCGAGUCGAGAGGUGUAAGACCUCGGCAGACGGCUGAGUAACACGCGGAUAACCUGCCCUUGGGUCCGGGAUAACCCCGGGAAACUGGGACUAAUACCGGAUAGAUCAAGGAUACUGGAAUGUUCUCUGGUCCAAAACUCCGGUGCCCAAGGAUGGGUCUGCGGCCUAUCAGGUAGUAGUGGGUGUAACGUACCUACUAGCCUACGACGGGUAAGGGUUGUGAGAGCAAGAGCCCUGAGAUGGAUUCUGAGACAUGAAUCCAGGCCCUACGGGGUGCAGCAGGCGCGAAAACUUUACACUGCGGGAAACCGCGAUAAGGGGACCCCGAGUGCCAGUACCUAGUGCUGGCUGUCCCGCUGUCCAAACAACAGUGGUUAGCAAGGGCCGGGCAAGACCGGUGCCAGCCGCCGCGGUAACACCGGCGGCCCGAGUGGUAGCCGUUAUUAUUGGGUUUAAAGGGUCCGUAGCCGGCUUAUUAAGUCUCUUGGGAAAUCUGGCGGCUUAAUCGUCAGGCGUCCAAGAGAUACUGAUAGGCUUGGGACCGGGAGAGGUGGGAGGUACUCCAGGGGUAGGGGUGAAAUCUCGUAAUCCUUGGGGGACCACCGAUGGCGAAGGCAUCCCACCAGAACGGGUCCGACGGUGAGGGACGAAAGCUGGGGGCACGAACCGGAUUAGAUACCCGGGUAGUCCCAGCUGUAAACGAUGCUCGCUAGGUGUCAGGUGCGGUGCGACCGCAUCUGGUGCCGUAGUGAAAACUUGAAGCGAGUCACCUGGGAAGUACGGUCGCAAGGCUGAAACUUAAAGGAAUUGGCGGGGGAGCACUACAACGGGUGGAGCCUGCGGUUCAAUUGGAUUCAACGCCGGG